rnacentral:rRNA from 1 species
UCGAUUGAGUUUGAUCAUGGCUCAGGACGAACGCUGGCGGCAUGGAUUAGGCAUGCAAGUCGAGCGACGCACCUUAGGGUGACGGAGCGGCGAACGGGUGAGUAACACGUGAACAAUCUACCCUCUUAUUCUGGACAAUUGGCUGAAAAGCCUUGUAAUACAGGGGAGGUUCCAACUUGGGCAUCCUUGAUGGAACGAACAGGUAACUGGUGCGAGGAGGAGUUCGCGGAUUAUCAGGUAGUUGGUGGGGUAACGGCCUACCAAGCCUACGACGAUUAGCUGGUCUGAGAGGAUGGUCAGCCACAUUGGAACUGAGAUACUGUCCAGACUCCUACGGGAGGCUGCAGUCGAGAAUCUUGGGCAAUGCACGAAAGUGUGACCCAGCGACGCCGCGUGCAGGAUGAAGGCCCUCUGGGUUGUAAACUGCUUUUACGGGAGAAGAAUCAAUGACGGUAUCCCGUGAAUAAGCCACGGCUAACUACGUGCCAGCAGCCGCGGUAAUACGUAGGUGGCAAGCGUUGUCCGGAUUUACUGGGCGUAAAGCGAACGCAGGCGGACUGUUAAGUAGAAAGUGAAAGGUCGGAGCUCAACUCCAACAUUGCUUUCUAUACUGGCAGUCUUGAGUAGCGGAGAGGAAGGGGGAACGACACGUGUAGCGGUGAAAUGCGUUGAUAUGUGUCGGAACACCCAUGGCGAAAG